UACGUAGGGGGCAAGCGUUGUCCGGAAUCAUUGGGCGUAAAGCGCGCGUAGGCGGCCCGGUAAGUCCGCUCUGAAAGUCCAGGGCUCAACCCUGGAAAGCGGGUGGAUACUGCCGGGCUAGAAUCCGGAAGAGGCGAGUGGAACUCCUGGUGUAGCGGUGGAAUGCGCAGAUAUCAGGAAGAACACCAAUAGCGAAGGCAGCUCGCUGGGACGGUAUUGACGCUAAGGCGCGAAAGCGUGGGGAGCGAACAGG
rnacentral:rRNA from 1 species